GACCUUUUCAUAGGCCGCGGAAACUCCUAUAUGUCGGGUGCUGCCUUGGCAGCUAUGGCAAUAAACGGGCGGUGUAAUAAACCCAUUGGACCCGGGGGCGGUACCCGGCGCCUCCACCAAAAACCGAUCGGCUGCAGAUCGGCUUUUGCUGGGGGCGAAAUAGGAUCGACAAGGGCGUAAAGAUCGACUUUUUGCUCGGCAUGAUACCACCGUUAUCGGGUCAAAAAUGUAGUUGCAAACGACAACUAUGCUGAAGCACGUCUCGCUGCUUAAUCGCAGUGCGACACUUCAAAUCAAGCCCUUGCGGGUAGCACCGUAAGGCGGGGUCCGAAGGCACCUGGCAACAGAAGCCUUCACC
rnacentral:tmRNA from 1 species